GAACCAGAGUGGGUUCUCAGAGUCUUGGCUUUCUUUCUGCAGCCUGUCUGCCUCCUAAGCAGCUGAGAUUGUUUCCCCACUACAGAUGAGUGAUAAGCUGACUGCACCCUCACGGAUAAUUCUAUCAACUCCUGGGACCAUCGCAUAGAGGGUGCUUGAGACAUGCUGCACUGGACGAUGCACACACCCCAUCUCUCCAACAUGACUAGGCCACCAGGAUGCAUCACAGUCCUGACCCCAAUGCAGGAGACUGAAAGUCACCAAGGACUGAGACAUGCUGUCGAGCCACAAUCAGAAGAGAAACUGGAGUUGAAGAAGAGCCAGGUCUGGCCACACAGAGAAGUGAAAACCUCCAUUUAAUGGUCAGAGGCAAAGUACAAAGUUAGGCAUCAGAGAAGUGUUCCGUUUUGGUCACUAUUAUUUCUUAAGAAUCUUUCUGAACACUCCAGAACUAAAGGACUAGAAGUCCAGGGCCCUUGCUCUCAGUGUCUGAUUAGCUGCUGUCAUCUGCCUCGAAAGCUGCCCCAUGGUUUUUUCCAUCCUUGCUAGCAGCACAAACCAACUGGUUUAGCCUAACAUUGAUAAAACUACAGAAUCUCAGAUUUGGAAGGAUGCUUUUAAAGCAAAUAGCCAAGCUCCUAGCUAAUUUUCUAAUUUUGUUGCUACAAGAAUAAAGAAUUUAAUGUGGGUGUGGAGGGAGAGUUAUUUGAGUCCAUUUUUCUUCUGGUCUUUCCCCUUUUCCAAGUAUAUAGGCAAUCCUGCACUCAUUGCCUCAGGGAGGGGAGGCAAUUAGUCAGAAGAUAUAAAUAGCCAAUUGGCACUUUUUGUCUCUGUGUUUUAAAAGAGGGAACUUAGAAUUUUGGGGAUGAUGUCAAGAUCAAAUGUGUGGGAGAAACAGAGGUCAAAGAGCAUUGACUUCCUCCACCCACCACCUAGAAUAGGAUUCUCUGAGGUCUGAGGCAUGGAGAGUGAAGAGCAGAUAAUGAUGAGAACAGACAGAAUGAGGGGUUCAAGAGCCAGGUUCCCUUCUUUCUGGGCAGUAGGUAGCAAUACCCCAAAGCAGGAGGUAGCAAUACCCCAAAGAGGAGAUGGCUUCGUGCAGGGUCUAGGCACACCAGUUCAUUGCCUCUUAAAGAUUUCUGGUGUGAACCUGGGAGGCGAAGCUUGCAGUGAGCCGAGAUCGCGACGCUGCACUCCUGCCUGGGCGACAGAGCAAGACUCCGGCUCAAAAACAAACAAACAAACAAACAAACAAAAACCAAACAAGAUUUCUGGCCCUCAAGCUAUGCAGCAAAAUAUCUCUGUGAGCCUCCAGUUCUAAAAGGCCAUGCUGCAAGCCAAAUACUCUCUCAGGGUAACUCAAUGGGAACAGAUGGCUCAGGGACCAGAAGGCUCACCCUCCCUCAAUGUACUGCUAAAGGCACUAAGUAAAUCCCAACAGGGUCUUUGUCUCAACCCCCGGGAAGAAGAGAGAAACCAAUAAUAAUCGGAGAGUGUUACCCUUAGCCUGCUAGUACAAAGAUAAAACAUCAAAUUGAGUUAGAGGAAAUGUUAUUUUUCUAGAUCAAUGCAGUCUAUGGACUGAGAUUCAUAGAUCUACUAUACACAUAAACACAUGUAAAACUACUUAACACAUAAAAUGUUACCUAUAUUAUUAGCAAUGUAAUAUUAUCAGUGAGUUGAAAGUCAGCUACAAAAUCUGAAUGUCAAUUGACCUCCACGUGGUUAUCUUAUGUCCAGAUGGAAAAACGUUGGUUCAACUCAUUGUCUUUUUAAAAUCCAUUCUUAAAAGAGAAAAUAUUAAUUAAAGAUUCAUUGUCACUUUAGGAGAAAGAGAAAAGAAGAAGGUGGAGUAAGUGUCUAGCUUUAUUCCACAGGAAUUUGUCCUCGUCUCUGCUUCAUUCAGCACUCUGACAAUUCCCUGGCAAAGUGUAGAAUGUAUAUGCAUCUCCAUUAGAUUUUUUCGUCUGCUAGAUUUGACUAUUUGUUUCAACUACGCUCCUUUUUUUUUUUUUUUUUUUUAAGAGAUGGAGUCUUGCUCUGUUAUCCACCCUGGGGUGCAAUGGCACAGUCAUAGCUUACUGUAAUCUUGAACUCCUGGGCACAAGUGAUCCUCCCACCUCAGCCUCCCAAAGUGCUGAGAUUACAAGUGUGAGCCACUGUGCACAGCCCAAUUAUGCUACUUUUGAGUAUUAAUUAAGACAACUGAGAUUCUGGCUGCCCACCCAACAUCACAUUAUGCUAAAUUUAAGCACCAUAUGAAUGUACUUCUUUAAUAACUUCUUUACUAUUUUCCUUGUUCUUCCACUUUACUAUUUCUGCAAACCUCCUAAUAUAGACCAUUCAGUCUAUCUCCCUUUUCCUCUCCUACACCCUGCUAGCUCAGCAUGAGCUGCUGGAGAAAACUCCCACAUCAGUGCAGAUUGGUGUCACAACCGAAGCAAGGCUUCCAAAUGCAGCUGGCCAUCAGCAUUUCACAGGAAUGGCUCUCCUCCCUUGGCCAGUGGCAUCACUCUCUCCUGAUUCUCCUCCUACCUCCCCGCUUUUUGUUUCUCUGUCUUCUUUAUAAGCUCUUUUUCUUCUUUUCUUAGAUAUUCAUUCUUCCUGCGUUCUGGCUGGGGCGCUCAUUCAACAUGCCCCUCCUGGGAAAUCUUAGGCAUUGUGAUAACUUUGACAAUCUAUACAAGCUAAUGAUUCCCAGAUCCUUAUCUCCAGCCUAGGGCCUUCUGAGCUCUGUGUCUGUAAGUUAAUAGACAUCUCUAGCUACAUCAUUAACACAUUUUAAACACAAGUCCUAAAAUUAACUCAUUUUCUAUUAUCUCAUCCAGCAACUCCUGUAUUUCCAAUUUUGAAAAAGCCCAUCUUUUUGUGUGGGCAUGUGUAUACUUGGUUUGAUCUCUGUUCCAUUCUUUCCGGAAUGUUUGAUUGUAUCCCAUGUUCAUUAACAGGUGAACAUAUUGGCUGUUUCUCCAAUAAAAAAUGAAACAGACCAUGUGUCUGCACCUAACUAGUAUUCAAUAAAUGGUUGCUGAAUAAGUGAAUCAUUUCCAUGAUCCACUAGUUUAAUAAUCUUAUCAAAAAAGACAAUAAGUAUACUGAUAAAACUUUCAUUUAAGAACCAAUGACCCCAAUUAUACUCAUUAUUUUCCUUUCCUAAAUGCUGAUGAUCAAUUCAUUUACUAUUUCACUUGGGGUACACAUCAAGCUUAUUGGUUUAUAAUUCAUAAAGUCAUGAGAAUGAGUAGACACUUCCUCUUCUUUCUUUUGGAAAUCAGAAUUAAAAUGGGUCUCUGUGGUUGUAAGGGAACAUGCUCAUGCUCUGUAAUUCCUCAUCGAUUGUCAUUUAUGUUUCCACAACCUUACCUGCCCUUUCUUCCAGGAACCAAUGACCUGGUUUAUACAAACAUGGCUAAUAUGAACUCAUUUGGAUAGCUCUUUGUGAUUCUUAGAUAAAUCUAAGAAUUUAGAUUCCUCUUACUAAUAUUUAUUUUUCCCUUCUGACUGAAAAUACUUCUCUUUGACCAAGAAGAAAAAAAUUCAAACACCAAUUCAAUAUUUCUCGAAUUUUUUUCCUAUUGUCUAUUAACAUUAAUUUUCCUUAAUCAAUAUUCUUUCCUUAUUUUUCUAACUCUAAAAAUGACUGUGAGACUCCACUUUUGUUGUCCUUUGUGCUUUUUGCAAACCUCUACUCAUUCU
ensembl:lncRNA novel transcript, antisense to RDX